rnacentral:RNase_P_RNA from 1 species
GAACAUGGCCGAGUAAUGGGUCAUUGAUGAAAAUCUUUGACAGGAAAGUCCGGACAGCAGAGUAGAGGGUGCGUGAUGAAAAUCACGACUAGUGGCAACACUAGCUAGUUAGAGCAACAGCGACGAACUGGGUAGCGCCAGCUGAAACGAUCAAGCUUUUGGAUAGACAAUCAGCAAUGAUUGUUUGGCAAUCCUCCCCGCUGCGAACAACGACUUUGACCUUAAUGGAUCUACUCCCUAUAUUUCCUUCGGGAAAGAUGGUCAUAAAGUUGCGCCUAGAUAAAUCAUUACUAUUCAAACAGAAUCCGGCUUAUGAGCCAUGUUCACUG